rnacentral:rRNA from 1 species
GUGCUUGGGCGAGAGUAGUACUAGGAUGGGUGACCCCCUGGGAAGUCCUCGUGUUGCACCCUUUUUUUUU